rnacentral:misc_RNA from 1 species
GAUGAAGAACGCAGCGAAAUGCGAUAAGUAGUGUGAAUUGCAGAAUUCAGUGAAUCAUCGAAUCUUUGAACGCACAUUGCGCCCCUUGGUAUUCCAUGGGGCAUGCCUGUUCGAGCGUCAUUUGUACCUUCAAGCUUUGCUUGGUGUUGGGUGUUUGUCCAUUCUCUUGCAGAGGGACUCGCCUUAAAGUAAUUGGCAGCCAGUGUUUUGGUUUUGAAGCGCAGCACAAGUCGCGAUUCAACGCUAUACGCCAGCUUCCACAAGCCUUUUUCACUUUUGACCUCGGAUAAGGUAGGGAUACCCGCUGAACUUAAGCAUAUCAAUAAGCGGAGGA